UACGGAGGGUGCGAGCGUUGUCCGGAAUCAUUGGGCGUAAAGGGCGCGUAGGUGGCCCGGCAAGCGUGCGGUGAAAGUCGGGGGCUCAACCCCCGAUCGGCCGUGCGAACUGCGGGGCUGGAGCACUGUAGAGGCAGGCGGAAUUCCGGGUGUAGCGGUGGAAUGCGUAGAGAUCCGGAAGAACACCAGUGGCGAAGGCGGCCUGCUGGGCAGUUUUGCUGACACUGAGGCGCGACAGCGUGGGGAGCAAACAGG
rnacentral:rRNA from 1 species